rnacentral:SRP_RNA from 1 species
UGCCGGGGACCUUGUAGAAUGAAGCGUCCGAACCAGGUCAGGAUCGGAAGAUAGCAGCCUUAAGGAACAUCUUCCUGCUACGAGACCCUCUCCGGCAUUU